rnacentral:rRNA from 1 species
UGCGUAGGGUGCAAGCGUUAAUCGGAAUUACUGGGCGUAAAGCGUGCGUAGGCGGUUCGUUAAGUCUGUUGUGAAAGCCCCCGGGCUCAACCUGGGAAUGGCAAUGGAUACUGGCGAGCUAGAGUGUGUCAGAGGAUGGUGGAAUUCCCGGUGUAGCGGUGAAAUGCGUAGAGAUCGGGAGGAACAUCAGUGGCGAAGGCGGCCAUCUGGGACAACACUGACGCUGAGGCACGAAAGCGUGGGGAGCAAACAGG